AAUUACAAAAGAGGUUGUGAAGACACCAGAAAAAAGUGGGAGGCUCACAUUUCCAAUAUCUUUGAAACAGUCGGGCUUGCGUGAUUCUCCGAUGCAGUGCUUCAUAAGAAGGGAGAGAGCAACUUCUACUUAUCGACUGUAUCUUGGUCUGACCCCUGCUCUGUUGGGGGAGAAUGGAAAAUUGUUGUUUGUAGCAAGGAAGACUAGAAGGGCAACAAGUACAGAUUUUGUGAUAUCCUUGGAUGCAAAUGAUUUCUCUCAUGCAAGCAAUACAUGUGUUGGAAACCUGAGAGGCAAGUUU